AUGAGACGGAGGGAGUAGUUACUAGUGAAGCGUGUGGUGUGUUAGUAGUCCUUUACCUUUGCAGUUUAGUUAGACGUCGCUGUGAAAUAUGCUCUGCGGUAAGUACUGGUUUGCUUAGUUGUUGUAAUGAAGAACUCAGCCUGUUUUAUCGGUGCCUGUGGCUGUGAUUCCGGCACCCAUUCGCUGACGCUGGCGCCAAGAGCUGGGAAGCUCCAACCUCCGGCGCCAAGAGCUGCAGCAAAACGACGCCGGCACAUCGCCUGACAGAGUACAGUAUAUAUUAUUCUUAUUGCAUAACUGUAUUUCCACAC
rnacentral:lncRNA from 1 species